AUCGCGGGAAACAUUUGGACUCACAAUUUUUUAUACUAUACCUCUAAUAUAUCUAAAGAAAUUCUGAAAUUUUCAGAGGGAUGGCCAUGGCUAAUUGACGCCACUCGCCACGCUGCUUAUUUAUAUAUGCAUGUAUACACUUUAUUAGGCCUCCGGCGCUUCCUUCUGUGUGUUACAAACUUCGUGGCAUACUUAAUAUACAUAUAUUCUGUUUAGGUUAUAAUGAAUGACUGAAUUAAAAAUAGCACAAGUAAAGAAAACUUUUACUAACAAAGAAGUUAGAUAUGGCGCGCCAACAUUUUGGACCGGUCUUAUGCUGACAUGAGUUUAGAGUUUUAACAACUAAAGAUGUGAUUAGUUUUGCUGCCGGUCACACUGACUAUGUUUAUGGUUUGUGGUAAAGAUUGUCUCCAAAAUUGAUUGACCGUAACAAAACAAGCAAUCGUAACAUAACCUCUAAUAGUAUGUUCAGCAGCCAUUACCAACGCUAGUUGCAUCCAUUACUUUACCUGCGCAACAUACAGCACUGCAUUUGUAGCAUACUCUAUGCUGUAACAACAAUAAGAGCAACAUAACUUCGGAGGUGUACAGUAAACACUGUAACUGACCGGUAAUUUAUACAUUUUUCAAGCUUUUCAUUUCAGCUGUAUUAAGUGAAGAGCAUAUAUUUUUCUAUGCUUGCUACUGAAAAACUCUCCGGAACUGCAGAGCUACCUAUUGUUAGCGUGUAUACAAUCAAAAUUGCUUUAGUGAUCGCUUAAGUCAACGCAGUGAAAUGUUUGCGUAAGAGCAGCCUUCAAAUCGAAACAAGUUUUAUAAUUUCUAUCUCUGGCCACUAAUCAAAAUAACUCGCAAAUAAAUUAUACGUUGCCAAUUUUUUUGAAAUCCAUUAUUUAGAUGUAAAAAUAAUUCUA